rnacentral:rRNA from 1 species
GCGCGAAAACUUUACAAUGCAGGCAACUGCGAUAGGGGAACAUCGAGUGAUCGUCAUAUUGGGGGUCUGUCCACCCGUGUAAAAAACGGGUGUUAGCAAGGGCCGGGCAAGACCGGUGCCAGCCGCCGCGGUAAUACCGGCGGCUCGAGUGGUGGCCGUUAUUAUUGAGUCUAAAGGGUCCGUAGCCGGCUUUGCAAGUCUUUCGGGAAAUCCAGCGGCUUAACCGUUGGUCGUCCGGGGGGUACUACCUUGCUUGGGACCGGGAGAGGUAGGAGGUACUCCGGGGGUAGGAGUGAAAUCCUGUAAUCCUUUGGGGACCACCGGUGGCGAAGGCGUCUUACCAGAACAGGUCCGACGGUGAGGGACGAAAGCUAGGGGCACGAACCGGAUUAGAUACCCGGGUAUCCCAGCCGUAAACGAUGCUCGUAGGGUGUCACAACGGUGGGGAAUUGUUGUGGUGCCGUAGGGAAGCCGUGAAGCGAGCCACCUGGGAAGUACG